rnacentral:rRNA from 1 species
CCUACGGGGGGCAGCAGUAGGGAAUCUUCCACAAUGGACGAAAGUCUGAUCCAGCGACGCCGCGUGAGUGAAGAAGUAUUUCGGUAUGUAAAGCUCUAUCAGCAGGGAAGAAAAUGACGGUACCUGACUAAGAAGCCCCGGCUAACUACGUGCCAGCAGCCGCGGUAAUACGUAGGGGGCAAGCGUUAUCCGGAUUUACUGGGUGUAAAGGGAGCGUAGACGGCAUAGCAAGUCUGAUGUGAAAGAUCGGGGCUCAACCCCGGGCCUGCAUUGGAAACUGUUAAGCUGGAGUACAGGAGAGGUAA